GACGUAGGGCGCGAGCGUUGUCCGGAUUUAUUGGGCGUAAAGAGCUCGUAGGCGGCUUGUCGCGUCGACUGUGAAAUCCCGCGGCUCAACUGCGGGUCUGCAGUCGAUACGGGCAGGCUAGGGUUCGGUAGGGGAGACUGGAAUUCCUGGUGUAGCGGUGAAAUGCGCAGAUAUCAGGAGGAACACCGGUGGCGAAGGCGGGUCUCUGGGCCGAUACUGACGCUGAGGAGCGAAAGCGUGGGGAGCGAACAGG
rnacentral:rRNA from 1 species